CAGGCGCGAAAACUUUACAAUGCUGGCAACAGCGAUAAGGAGACCUCGAGUGCCAGGUUACAAAUCUGGCUGUCGAGAUGCCUAAAAAGCAUUUCAUAGCAAGGGCCGGGCAAGACCGGUGCCAGCCGCCGCGGUAACACCGGCGGCUCGAGUGGUAACCGCUAUUAUUUGGUCUAAAGGGUCUGUAGCCGGCCGAGUAAGUCUUUUGGGAAAUCUGGCUGCUCAACAGUCAGGCUAUCAGGAGAUACUGUUCGGCUCGAGGCCGGGAGAGGUGAGAGGUACUUCAGGGGUAGGGGUGAAAUCUUGUAAUCCUUGAAGGACCACCAGUGGCGAAGGCGUCUCACCAGAACGGGCCUGACGGCAAGGGACGAAAGCUAGGGGCACGAACCGGAUUAGAUACCCGGGUAGUCCUAGCCGUAAACGAUACUCGCUAGGUGUCGGCCACGGUGCGACCGUGGUCGGUGCCGUAGGGAAGCCGUGAAGCGAGCCACCUGGGAAGUACGGCCGCAAGGCUGAAACUUAAAGGAAUUGGCGGGGGAGCACUACAACGGGUGGAGCCUGCGGUUUAAUUGGAUUCAACGCCGGGAAGCUUACCGGGAUCGACAGCAAUAUGAAGGCCAGGCUGAAGACCUUGCCGGAUUCGCUGAGAGGUGGUGCAUGGCCGUCGUCAGUUCGUACUGUGAAG
rnacentral:rRNA from 1 species